GGUACAACAGAAGAGAUAUGCAAUGGGUCCCACUUGUGAAAGAGUUAUAACUGGCAGAUUUCAAAGAGAGGCUUUUUCUGUCAUGGCUGCCACCCUAUGGAGCUUAAUUCUACUGAGGUCUUUUUAUUUAUCUACUGUGAGAUUAUUCUGUCUUCAAAAGAGGGAAGAAAGGGCUGAAUACUAUAAUCUCCCACAUCUCUGUGCUAUAUGGCCAGGAGGUUCUUCAAAAUGAUUAUCAAUCAAUCAGAAUAGAGCUAGACGAGACUUCGAUGUCUUCUUGGAUGAGAAGCAAACCAUCUUCAAAGAAAAAAAAGAAAGUCCAGUUACCUUUUGAAAAAGCACCUUUGGGACCUGGAUGACUGAGAGAGAGGAUUUGAAUUACCGUCAUCUCUGUGAACGCAUAAAAUCCAACAAUGCUUCACAUAUUACAUUAUGUUAUAAUAUUUGAUUUUGUUACAUUAGAUUAUAUGUUGCAAUGAAUUGUUCAGUUGGUGAAUUUAGAUAAUUUACCAGGUA